rnacentral:rRNA from 1 species
UACGUAGGGUGCGAGCGUUGUCCGGAAUUAUUGGGCGUAAAGGGGCUCGUAGGCGGUUUGUCGCGUCGGGGAGUGAAAAACCCAGGGCUUAACCCUGGGCUGGCUUCCGAUACGGGCAGACUAGAGGUAUGCAGGGGGAGAACGGAAUUCCUGGUGUAGCGGUGAAAUGCGCAGAUAUCAGGAGGAACACCGGUGGCGAAGGCGGCUCACUGGACCGUUACUGACGCUGAGGUGCGAAAGCUAGGGGGAGCAAACAGG